GAAAAGUAGGCUGCUCACGCAGGGCCGUGCCUCUGUUUCAUCAUCAGCUCUAGCCGGCUCCGUUUCUCCAGCUCACACACUCCUCCUCCUCCUCCUUGCCCAGAUUGCUCUGGUCGUUCGCGAGGGGGAGAUUGGAUUCUGAAAAAAGGCUGCUGCUGCUGCUUGCAUUCCUGCUACAAGGGCCUCCCCUUCAGACGGCCUUUGCCAGAGCAGAACUUUUUAAAAUGCUACAAAUAGGAUCUUCUUUUGAUUUUUCCUGACUUAUUUAACCCUCCUCGUUUAAUUUUUAAAAGCUGGACUAAUUUUUCUUCUUUUCUAUGCUUUGCCUGGCUGUACCGUACCUGGUUAAACCUCGAAGUAUUUUCCCCUGCUGAUUCUUCUUUUUAAAAAAUUUUUCCCUUCCUCGGUCAAAGAAAUUGAUUUCUGUGACUGAGCCAUGAAUCAGGCUUUUCUCGUUUGAAUGCUAUGAGAGUGAAGGGUUUUAUUUGUGAUUUUUUUUCCCUCCAUUACCAAUGCACUGUGCUGCUCAUGGAACCAACUUCUUUCCACAUAUUUUUUGAAUUGCUUUAGGUCUCUGCGCCACACGAAAAAAGGGUGGAUGAUGGCCCUCCAACCCCCUUGUAAUCUGACCAUGGCUGAAAUGGAAAUACGGUGAAGCCUCCUAUUGUUGUUGCCGGGAGCUGGCAGGCCAGGGUGGUUGUGGCAGGGGAAGCAUGUGGAGGAGAAGCUGGAGCCCGUUGCUAGGAGGCUGCAGCGCUGCAAGGUGAACACCUUGGCAUCCUCACUCUGUGGCUGGUCCCAGAGGCUUGUUUCCCAGGUACUGCCUCAGAUUGCAUGCAAAAAAAGAUGUACCAGUUGCCUGGCAAGGUGAACUAAAGAAACACGAAGAAAAGUCUUCUGAGAGAAUACAAAGAAGUUUUCAGAAAGUGUGACAUACUGGAAAUCUCUGUUCAUCCAUCUAUGGGAGACUUGCUAAAGAAGUCAAAAAAGAAAAGAUGAUCUGAUGACCUGUGCAGAGAAAAUGCUAAGGGGGAAAUGGAGAAAAUAAAAAUUUUGGUGGGUUUGCUAUGGCUGACAUCUCAUUCCAGACCUAAGAGCUGUCCAGUUAAGUUGGCACAAAGUUUGGUGCUACUCAUUGCUGCUCAGUGGGCAUGUCUACAUGUGCAUUUACGCAUGCCUAAACUUAAUGUGCCUUUGCUUAAGGCACAUUA